rnacentral:rRNA from 1 species
UACGAAGGGGGCUAGCGUUGCUCGGAAUCACUGGGCGUAAAGCGCGCGUAGGCGGAUCUUUAAGUCAGGGGUGAAAUCCUGGAGCUCAACUCCAGAACUGCCUUUGAUACUGGGGAUCUCGAGUCCGGGAGAGGUGAGUGGAACUGCGAGUGUAGAGGUGAAAUUCGUAGAUAUUCGCAAGAACACCAGUGGCGAAGGCGGCUCACUGGCCCGGUACUGACGCUGAGGUGCGAAAGCGUGGGGAGCAAACAGG